AUGUGUGAAACCUGAAGUUAAGAGAUUCAUUUCUGGGUCGUGCUACAACAAGUGAGAAACUAACGGCCGUUUGGCUGUCCAAUCGCGUGACUGUGGACAUUUGAAAGCAGACUUCCGCCCGCCUUUUCUACCGUUGGAAAUGCAAGAUGCGGCGACUUGACUUCAGACACCGAGAGAGGCUGGCGGCCCAGGUCUUGUGGCCACAUCUGUCCAAGCUCCUACUCUGAUUGAACAGUUGGAUGAUCAGACUGAUGAUGAAAAGUGCUACACAGUUCUCACACAUCUUCUGACUCCGAAGCCGCUGCAGUGUAAAAUCUGAGAUGUCUUUUCUGGUUGAUUUUGUGCAGAUUUCUGACAGCGACAGCGAUGGUGAGGGAAGCAGUGUACCGAACUCUCAGAUGACUCGGACCAGGUGACCAAACCCAUGCAAAGCACAAUGACUGUGCUGAGGCGUUCCGCCCCCCUCCCCCUCCACACCACUCAAGGCACGGCGGCGGCCCAACCGCAAACUAACGUGAGUACACAACACACACACACUUGUGUGCAUGCCACGCACUGACACUUUCUCUACAGUGACUUGUCAACUUUCCUUACAUUGUGUGUGUGCGU